rnacentral:rRNA from 1 species
GCUAGCGGGAGGCUUAACACAUGCAAGUCGAGGGGUAACAGGUCACUUCGGUGACGCUGACGACCGGCGCACGGGUGAGUAACGCGUAUGCAACCUACCUUUUACAGGGGAAUAGCCCAGAGAAAUUUGGAUUAAUACCCCAUAGUUCCAUGAAUUCGCAUGUUUUUAUGGAUAAAGUUUCGGCGGUAAAAGAUGGGCAUGCGUGACAUUAGCUUGUUGGUAAGGUAACGGCUUACCAAGGCGACGAUGUCUAGGGGUUCUGAGAGGAUUAUCCCCCACACUGGUACUGAGACACGGACCAGACUCCUACGGGAGGCAGCAGUGAGGAAUAUUGGUCAAUGGGCGAGAGCCUGAACCAGCCAUCCCGCGUGCAGGAUGACAGCCCUAUGGGUUGUAAACUGCUUUUAUAUACCAAGAAACCCAUCUACGUGUAGAUGGCCUGACGGUAGUAUAUGAAUAAGCAUCGGCUAACUCCGUGCCAGCAGCCGCGGUAAUACGGAGGAUGCAAGCGUUAUCCGGAUUCAUUGGGUUUAAAGGGUGCGUAGGCGGUCUUUUAAGUCAGUGGUGAAAUCCUGCGGCUCAACCGUAGAACUGCCAUUGAAACUGAAAGACUUGAGUCACCGGA